rnacentral:rRNA from 1 species
CCUACGGGCGACAGCAGUGAGGAAUAUUGGUCAAUGGGCGUAAGCCUGAACCAGCCAAGUCGCGUGAGGGAUGAAGGUUCUAUGGAACGUAAACCUCUUUUAUAAGGGAAUAAAGUGUGGGACGUGUCCUGUUUUGUAUGUACCUUAUGAAUAAGGAUCGGCUAACUCCGUGCCAGCAGCCGCGGUAAUACGGAGGAUCCGAGCGUUAUCCGGAUUUAUUGGGUUUAAAGGGUGCGUAGGCGGCCUUUUAAGUCAGCGGUGAAAGUCUGUGGCUCAACCAUAGAAUUGCCGUUGAAACUGGGAGGCUUGAGUAUGUUUGAGGCAGGCGGAAUGCGUGGUGUAGCGGUGAAAUGCUUAGAUAUCACGCAGAACCCCGAUUGCGAAGGCAGCCUGCCAAGCCAUGACUGACGCUGAUGCACGAAAGCGUGGGGAUCAAACAGGAUUAGAUACCCCAGUAGUC